rnacentral:rRNA from 1 species
UACAGAGGGGGCAAGCGUUAUUCGGAAUUAUUGGGCGUAAAGGGCGCGUAGGCGGCUUGGCAAGUGGAAGGUGAAAUCCCUCGGCUUAACCGAGGAACUGCCCUCCAAACUGCUUCGCUUGAGACCGGGAGAGGUGAGUGGAAUUCCCAGUGUAGCGGUGAAAUGCGUAGAUAUUGGGAGGAACACCAGUGGCGAAGGCGAGUCCCUGGACGAUACCUGACACUGAGGCACGAAAGCCAAGGGAGCAAACAGG